rnacentral:lncRNA from 1 species
GCACGGUAGUGCAGGGAUCCCAAAAAGUUGGUCAGAGAUCUUGAUGUACCUUAAAAGAUGGAUGACAAUGGUCGAAUCUUUCUUCGAUGUUAAGGUCAAUCCUAAAAUACCAUAAAUAAAGGAAGUAUACUUUCUAAAGAGUGUCUGAGGGAACUCUUCAAUGUCUAAGUCAGAUAAUAGAAAAUAGAAGAGAUUCUAAGUGAGAGGUAGA